GCUUGAUCUCCCUAUGGCCUAGAACCAAGGCCUCCAUUCUGUUUACCUUAUGACUCCUGAUAUAUAUGCAAUCAGUGGCUCUAUAUGCAAUCAGUGGCUCUGACUGGUCUGCAUAGACUUCUGUGCCUAGGCCAGGUCCCUUGAAAGUAAGUACAUCUCCGAGCUCAGGAAUCAGCUAGCCCUUUCGGAUGGUGGAAAUGGCCCAGCACAGCACACCCCAGGCAUUUAGAGUAGGUAGGCCAGAGUGACACCCAAGGACAUGAAACAAAUUAAUGAGUAGCCACAGAAACCCAACAUAUGCAAAGUAGGUGUCCCAGGGUAGUGAGACAGGAAAUUCAGUCUUUGGCCUGAGUUUUGUCACGUGGGUUGGUGUUAGUUAAACUGACACAAUGAGCACUUGAGAUUAGGACUUAUUGUACCAGAGUGGAAGAUAUUGCCUCUCUGGUGACUACAUCAGAGAUCUAAGUGUUGCUUUUCCCUUUUAUGAUGUAUAGCAUCAAACCCGGACUGAUCCCACGUUCUGUCCCCUUCUCCCCAGCUGGACAUUACCAAUGGGGUCAGUGAAGAUAAUGUCCUCAUCACUGAGGCCCAGAUAUUUGGAAAAUUUGAGGAAGCUCUCCUUCAGUUCCAGGCUCAGCUCCUUGGUUCUCCCUAUGGCCAAGAUAUAUGGGCCAGACACUGCUCAUGUGUUAUGCUUCUGGAAAUCAGACUAGCGGC
rnacentral:lncRNA from 1 species